UUCUGCUCGUAUGUCUUAUCAUCUUUUCUGACAAUGCAGUGAAAUGCAAACGGCUGUUUUGUGCAAACAGCAAUGAAUCAACAGUCAAUCAACUACUGCCCCCAGGUGCAUAUCAUCAUGUGUACAACAAACAUUGAUUGGCCACUGGUGGGCGAAGGGUUAAUGUGGUCAUUGGCUUGAUUGAUUAUGGAAUUACCAGCUGCUGUGUAUAAAAGGGGGAGUUGUGUGAUUGUCUGAGUGUAGUUGUCCUGGGCUGUGGAUGGGAGCAGAGCUCAGGGUCGAGACAGGGAGUCUCCCCUUGUGUCUGAUGUGGUUCUACAUCUCCAGGGCAUGAGGUAGGUGAGAACACUACAGCUCUAUACUGAAUUGCAUUUGCUUCUUUGAUUAAUUGUGCUGACUUUUCCUUAUAAUUGUUGUCAUUUGAAGUGUCCAGGGUUUUUAAUGAUUAUAUUUUCCUGGUGCAACUGGAACUGUGCUGUUUUUACGCUGUAUCUGAGAACUAAAAGGAUGUUUCCACUAGUGGGAGAGUCUUGAACCAGAGGGCACAGUCUGAAUAAAAGGGUGUAUCUUUACUGAAGCAAUGAUACCCUAAACUUAUCACAACUGAAAUUGAAUCUGGCUGAUGUAAAAUGUAGAAACAAAGACCUGUAGAUGCUGGUUUAUACCAAAGAUAGACACAUUGCUGGAGUAACUCAGUGGGUCAGGCAGCAUCUGUGGACAAACAAAAUAUUUGGGGAUGGAACAGAAGGGUUCUUACCCAACUAUCACCCAUCCUUCUCCUCCAGAGAUGCUGUGUUACUCCAGCACUCUGUUGAUCAGUGAUAAUUGUUAAUGAUUGAAGCUCAAUGUGGAACAAGGAGCUGGAACAGAUGCAGGGAUAAUGUAGAAUAUUGGGUCGAAAGGACCUGAGGGGCAUUCUUGGAAUAAGUCUGCUGUGGAUUGGAGUAGGGAUGGAUGAAAUUCCCCAAAGAGAUGAUGCAAUCUGUCUCCAAUGUUUGGAGACCCUGGGAAAGGGUGCAGACAAGAUUUAUGCAGAUAUUGCCAAGAAUUGUUAUUGCUGCCAAGUCAAACUUUGUCCACCUUUAUCUGAAGAAGGGUUUUGGCCCGAAAUGUUGCCUAUUUCCUUCGCUCCAUAGAUGCUGCUGCACCCGCUGAGUUUCUCCAGCUUUUUUGUCUACCUUUGUCCAAAGAUCUUAUAGCUCUAAGAUCUUUGCCUUUGUCCACCUAUCAGAUGGGCCUGCAGUGCAGUGGAUCACCACACGGUGGGAGUGUUGACCACAGAUUGGCCGGGCCUGCAGUGCAGUGGAGUGGGAGCUGCUGCCUACAAAUUAAAUAUAAUUUUGCUUUUUAAUGCAAAAUUGAUCUUUAUUGCUGUAUGACCUGUUUCCUUUCCCCGUAAUGCACCCAUUGUACAAAUGCCAACGUUUGUAAAAACUCCAAAACCAGGGAAGAUUUGGAAUGAAAAUCAAGGUUUACAAAAAAAAGAGUAACUCAGCGGGUCAGGCAGCAUCUGUGGAGAACAUGGAUAGGUGACGUUUCACAGAGUGCUGGAGUAACUCAGCGGGUCAGGCAGCAUCUGUGGAGAACAUGGAUAGGUGACGUUUCACAGAGUGCUGGAGUAACUCAGCGGGUCAGGCAGCAUCUGUGGAGAACAUGGAUAGGUGACGUUUCACAGAGUGCUGGAGUAACUCAGCGGGUCAGGCAGCAUCUGUGGAGAACAUGGAUAGGUGACAUUUCACAGAGUGCUGGAGUAACUCAGUGGGUCAGACAGGAUUCCCAUAGUAAGAGUUACAGCUUUGGGCAGCUCUGCCAGGGAGUUCACUGUUUGUGUGAAGUGUUGUCUUUGAUAUAGCUGGCAUGUUGCUGUGCCAGUUUGAUUCUGAAAAUAGUCAAUGUAUUCUUCUACCCUGUAGGAUUCACUACUGCAGACACAUUGAAUUUCACUUGACCUUAAUUGGUACAUGUGACGAUAAACUGACCUUGAAACAUUGAGCCUAGAGUUAUUUUUCCAGGCCCUGUCCACCCAGUGUUUGAUAUUUUGAGGUGAAUGUAGAAUCUUCUCCGAGUCAGCAUGGAUUUACAAAGGGGAAAUCAUGCUUGUCUAAUAUUCUGGAAUUUUUUGAAGAUGUAACUAGGAAAAUGAACAAGGGAGAGCCAGUGAUUGUAGUGUAUCUGGACUUUCAGAAAGCAUUUGAUAAGGUCCCACAUAGGAGAUUAGUGUGCAAAAUUAGGGCACAUGGUAUUGGGGGUAGAGUGCUGACAUGGAUAGAGAAGUGGUUGGCAGACAGGAAAUGAAGAGGAGGGAUUAACAGGUCCCUUUCAGAAUGGCAGGCAGUGACUAGUGGGGUACCGCAAGGCUCGGUGCUGGGACCGCAGCUAUUUACAACAUACAUCAAUGAUUUAGAUGAAGGGAUUCUAAGUAAAUUUGCAGAUGACACAAAGCUGGGUGGCAGUGUGAACUGUGAGGAGGAUGCUGCUAUGUGAAUGCAGGGUGACUUGGACAAGUUGGGGGAGUGGGCAGAUGCACAGCAGACUAAGUUUAAUGAGGUUAAGUGUGAGGUUAUCCACUUUGGUAUCGUAAACAAGAAGGCAAAUUACAUAGAAACAUAGAAAAUAGGUGCAGGAGUAGGCCAUUCGGCCCUUUAAGCCUGCACCACCAUUCAAUAUGAUCAUGGCUGAUCAUCCAACUCGGUAUCCUGUACCUGCCUUCUCUCCAUACUCCCUGAUCCCUUUAGCCACAAGGGCCACAUCUAACUCCCUCUUAAAUAUAGCUAUCUAAAUAUCUAGUUGGGAAAAGGGGAAGUACAACGGGACCUGGGGGGUCCUUGUACAUCAGUCUAUGAAAGUAUGCAUGCAGGUACAGCAGACAAUGAAGAAAGCGAAUGGCAUGUUGGCCUUUGUGACAUGAGGAGUUGAGUAUAGGAGCAAAGAGGUCCUUCUGCAGUUGUACAGAGCCCUAGUGAGACCACAACUGGAGUAUUGUGUGCAGUUUUGGUCCCCUAAUUUGAGGAAGGACGUUCUUGUUAUUGAAGGAGUGCAGCGUAGGUUUACAAGGUUAAUUCCCGGGAUGGCGGGACUGUCGUAUGCUGAGAGAAUGGAGCAGCUGGGCUUGUACACUCUGGAGUUUAGAAGGAUGAGAGUGUCUCAUUGAAACAUAUAAGAUUGUUAAGGGUUUGGACACACUGGAGGCAGGAAACAUGUUUCCGAUGUUGGGUGAGUCCAGUACCAGGGGCCCCAGUUUAAGAAUAAGGAGUAAGCCAUUUAGAACGGAGACGAGGAAACACUUUUUCCUCACAGAGUUGUGAAUGUGUGGAAUUUUCUGCCUCGGACAGCGGUGGAGGAGGGUUAGAAACAUAGAAAUUAGGUGCAGGAGUAGGCCAGUCGGCCCUUCGAGCCUGCACCGCCAUUUAAUAUGAUCAUGGCUGAUCAUCCAACUCAGUAUCCCGUACCUGCCUUCUCUCCAUACCCUCUGAUCCCCUUGGCCACAAGGGCCACAUCUAACUCCCUCUUAAAUAUAGCCAAUGAACUGGCCUCAACUACCCUCUGUGGCAGAGAGUUCCAGAGAUUCACCACUCUCUGUGUGAAAAAAGUUCUUCUCAUCUCGGUUUCAAAGGAUUUCCCCCUUAUCCUUAAGCUGUGACCCCUUGUCCUGGACUUCCCCAACAUCGGGAACAAUCUUCCUGCAUCUAGCCUGUCCAACCCCUUAAGAAUUUUGUAAGUUUCUAUAAGAUCCCCUCUCAAUCUCCUAAAUUCUAGAGUAUAAACCAAGUCUAUCCAGUCUUUCUUCAUAAGACAGUCCUGACAUCCCAGGAAUCAGUCUGGUGAACCUUCUCUGCACUCCCUCUAUGGCAAUAAUAGAGGUUCUCUGGGUGCUUUCAAGAGAAAGUUAGAUAGGGCUCUUAAAAAUAGCGGUGUCGGGAGAUAUGGGUAGAAGGCAGGAACGGGGUACUGAUUGCGAAUUAUUAGGGUUGGACUCUCUUCCCCAUUCUGCCAAAUGUUGCAUAAACUGGGCCAAACUUCUGUUCCUUUACUUGUAUGUCUCAUUUAUACAUUGUAUUUAUUUGUCGAUUAAAGUAUCUGGUUUGUCGUGGUGUGUUUCUCCAGAUGUUUGAACUGCCUGUAUGCUCCUAUCUGUUUCUGUUUGUGCACAGGGUUUCAAUGUCCAUGGUAAAGGGCACAGAAUCGGGGGCAGUGUUGGGGCGAACACUUCAUGUGACAUGGUGUCCAGUGUGAAGGAGGAUGUCAGCAGACUUCAAAUCACUAACGUGACAUUGGAUCUCCAAGGACUGGACCUGUGCUGCUGGAAGUGUCUGCUGGGGUUAGACUGUCUCUUCCCGUUCUGCCGAAUGUUGGCGUAAGAUGGAAUAAAUUUGUUCCCCAUUGCUGUUCUCCUGAUACACGUCUCAUUUAAUGUUUUUGUCGGUUAAAGUAGAGUCUGGUCUGUUGCGGUCAGGUUUCCUCUGAUAUUGUGAACUGCUGCACGCCCUGUAACGUUCCUGCAACCUUAUCCAGUCUAUCUGGAUUUGAUCUUCAUGGAGAUGGUGUGAAGGUAAGGCCUCUAUUUCAACCCAUCUUUUGGUUUCAGUGGGGAUAAGAUUUUGAAAGAUAAUCAAUGGGGUUUCCUAUUUAUUUUUGGUCAAGGGUUUUAUAAUUCAGGAUGCUGGAUCUUUAGCAAUAAAAGCAGAGUUGGAGGAACUCGAUGGGUCAGGCAGCAUCUGUAGGCUGGCUCAGAGAUUUGUAGGUUAAUUGGUUUUUGUAAACUGUCUCUAUUGUGUAGGAUAGUGCUAGUGUACGGGGUAAUCGCUGGAUUGUGCAGACUCGCUGGGCCAGGUUAUGGUCUGAGUGUUCAACAUGGACUAGAAGGGCCAAGAUGGGCUGUUUCCAUGCUGUUAUGGUUAUAUGGUACCACCUAUUUACCUGCUGGCUUUGUCCUGUGUGCCUUUGCCUCUUUUCACUCUCUUUCAUCAGUCUGAGGAAGGUUGCUGACCUGAGAUGUCAUCUGUCCAUUCCACUUGCAGUCAGGCAGAUUGUGCCUGAACUGCUGAAUGCCUCCAGCACUUUGUCUUUGGACAGAGCCAUGUUCCCCGGUUGUAGUUGGCUCCUGUUACAGGGAAAGUAGAGUUUAAUAUUUGUGGUUUAUUAAUUUGACUGUUUUGUACAUUGUUGUCGGCUCUCGAGAUCUGCUCUUUCUAGAGAUUACUUUAAGGUAAGGCCCCCGUUUCAAAACUUCUCUUGGGUUUCAGUGUUUGGGGAAAGAUUGGGCAGCACAGUGGUAGAGUUGCUGCCUCACAGCGCCAGAGACCUGGGUUCAAUCCUGACAACAUAUGUUGUCUGUAUAGUUUGUAUGUUCUGCCUGUGACCAUGUGGGUUUUCUCCAGGUGUUCUGGCUUCCAUCACCAAAGACAUUUCAUAUUUGCAGGUUAAUUGGUUUCCGUAAACUGUCCCUAGUGUGUAGGAUAGUGCUAGAGUACGGGAUGAAUGCUGGAUUGUGCAGACUUAGUGGACCAGAUGGCCUGUUCCCACACUUUAGUUGGUCUUACUGUAUUUAUUUUAGUACAAUGGGAAGAAAGGUCCUGUUCUGAAACGUCACCAUAAAUGUUCUCCAGAGAUGCUGCCUGACCCGCUGAGUUACUCCAGCACUGUGUGAAACGUCACCUAUCCAUGUUCUCCACAGAUGCUGCCUGACCCGCUGAGUUACUCCAGCACUGUGUGAAACGUCACCUAUCCAUGUUCUCCACAGAUGCUGCCUGACCCGCUGAGUUACUCCAGCACUCUGUGAAACGUCACCUAUCCAUGUUCUCCACAGAUGCUGCCUGACCCGCUGAGUUGCUCCAGCACUCUGUGAAACGUCACCUAUCCAUGUUCUCCACAGAUGCUGCCCGACCCGCUGAGUUACUCCAGCACUCUGUGAAACGUCACCUAUCCAUGUUCUCCACAGAUGCUGCCUGACCCGCUGAGUUGCUCCAGCACUCUGUCUUUAUUAUAGUUGUAAACCAGCAUCUGCAGUUCCUUGAUUUUCAUCCCAAAUCUUCCCUGGUUUCAGGGAUUUUACAAACGUUGGCAUCUGGGCAAUGGGGGCUUCAUGGGGAAAUGUAACCGGUUACAAAGCAAUGAAGAACAUUUGUACACAGCAACUCCCAAUGUGCAGUGAAUUUGUGGUCAACACUCCCACCGUGUGGUGAUCCGCUGCACUGCAGGUCCAUCCAAUUUGUGGUCAACACUCCCACCGUGUGGUGAUCCGCUGCACUGCAGGUCCAUCCAAUUUGUCCGACCCACUGAGUUACUCCAGCACAUUGUCUAACUGGGGUGUUGCUGUGCUUGUAAAUUGUGUCAGUGCUGGAGCAACUCGAUGGGUGCAGCAACAUCGCUGGAGAACAUGGAUUGGUAAUUCUGGGUUGGGACUCUUCAGACCUUAAUCUCUGAAGGUAGUCUAAAUAUAUUGGACUACAUUAAUAUUGGUGCAACCUGUAGGAGUCCUGACUGCAGAGACACAAUGGUCCUGGUUGGAGAUGCAUCUCCAGGCAUUGUCCACAUGUCCAAGUGUUUUUACCCUGAGGAUUAGAAUCUUCUCACCCGGGACUGUCCGACCCACUGAGUUACUCCAGCACUUUGUCUAAUUGUAGAGAAGGACGUUGGAACAUUUCAAACAUUAAAAUGUUAAAUUGUUUUUUCAGCAUCAAGUCUUCAUGGAUUUGGUCUUUAUGGAUGUCAUCGGAGAUAAGGUACGUAUUUCUAACCCUCUUCAGUUUAAUGGGAUAAAUGUGUUCAAUUAUUGAUGACUUUUCCAAAUUUGUUUCUUCAACAUCGAGGAGCUCGCAGUCUCUGGUAGAGACCGAUGUCGGGAAGCUCCAAAGAACGCAAAAGGUUCGACUAGACCCCGAGUGAGCUGGGAUUCAACCCCCCGAUGCAGGACCCCCGACACGGACGGCCCGACCACCUGCUACAGGAGUCAAGAUCGUCCCAUCAACGGAAGGCCCGAGGCCCCAGACUGCAGGAGGCCAAAGAAGGGAAGAGUUUGAUCUUUGUGUUCUGUUGCUUUUUAUUGGUAUGAGUGUCUGUAAAUGUCAUGCCUCGUGUUGCAAACAUACUUUUUUUACAACACGAGCCACCCCAUGUUUGAAUCGUGAGUGUAUAUAUAUAUAUACAGUGCUGGAGGAACUUGGUGGGUUUCACAACCCCUGAAGGAUUGGACAGAUGACUAAUCGGGUCAGGAGCUCUCAGUCUGAAAUACGGGGGAGAGCUGGAAAUGAGGUGGGGGUUGGGCACUGCCUGACAAGUGAUGGGUGGAUUACAGGUGAGUGGGUGAUGGGCAAAUGGAUGGAGUAAGUGCCAAAGGCUGAAGGUGAAAGUGAUCAAACAUGUUGGAUAAGGACAAGAACUGAAAUGUAAAACUAGGGUGAGGUGGGGUUGGAAGGUAAAAGGGAAAUAUGGACAAGGAGUUGAGAGAUGAGCAUACUUCCCCUCAUUAACUAAAUAAUAACUAAAUAACCAUAACUAAAUAACACCAACUAAAAUAACUAAAUAACACCAAAUAGGAAUAACUAAAUAAUAAUAAUAACUAAACAAUAAUUAACUAAACAGUUAUAACCAAAUAGGAAUAACUAAAUACCACCAAAUAGGAAUAACUAAAUAAUAAUAAUAACUAAACAAUAAUUAACUAAACAGUUAUAACCAAAUAGGAAUAACUAAAUACCACCAAAUAGGAAUAACUAAGUAAUAACUAACUAGUCCUUGUACGCUCAUUUCUCAAACAGGAGUUCCAUAUUCCCUCUAUCCCUUCCACCCAUCUCUCCUAGUUUCAUAUUUCCGUUCUCUCCUUAUUUGGCAUUUUGUCCCUUUCACCUUGAGCCUUUGGCACUCACUCCAUCCAUAUGCUCAUCACGCCUCACAUGUACCACCUAUUUCCUUGCUGGCUUUGUCCUGCAUGCCUCUGCCUCUUUUCACUCUCUUUCAUCAGUCUGAGGAAGGUUGCUGACCUGAGGUGUCAUCUGUCCAUUCCACUUGCAGUCAGGCAGAUUGUGCCUGAACUGCUGAAUGCCUCCAGCACUUUGUCUUUGGGCAGAGCCAUGUUCCCCGGUUGUAGUUGGCUCCUGUUACAGGGAAAGUAGAGUUUAAUAUUUUUGACUGAAGCUCUGGGGGGGUUGGGUUAUUCCAGGUAUUUUUUAAACCAUCUGGACACCACUGAAUGUUUGUUUAUAUCUAACGUUUAAAUGUCCACGUGGAGAGUAAGACAUCUGGCAACAAGGUUAGGAGAACACUUGGGAAAUAUAAUGGGUAUUUGAUGUAACUGGGGUGUUGCUGUGCUUGUAGAUUGUGUCAGUGCUGGAGCAACUCGAUGGGUGCAGCAACAUCGCUGGAGAACAUGGAUUGGUAAUUCUGGGUUGGGACUCUUCAGACCUUAAUCUCUGAAGGUAGUCUAAAUAUAUUGGACUACAUUAAUAUUGGUGCAACCUGUAGGAGUCCUGACUGCAGAGACACAAUGGUCCUGGUUGGAGAUGCAUCUCCAGGCAUUGUCCAAGUGUUUUUACCCUGAGGAUUAGAAUCUUCUCACACCGGAGUGUCCGACCCACUGAGUUACUCCAGCACUUUGUCUAAUUGUAGAGAAGGACGUUGGAACAUUUCAAACAUUAAAAUGUUAAAUUGAUUUUUCAGCAUCAAGUCUUCCUGGAUUUGGUUUUUAUGGAUGUCAUCGGAGAUAAGGUACGUAUUUCUAACCCUGUUCAGUUUAAUGGGAUAAAUGUGUUCAAUUAUUGAUGGCUUUUCCAAAUUUGUUUCUUCAACAUCGAGGAGCUCGCAGUCUCUGGUAGAGACCGAUGUCGGGAAGCUCCAAAGACCGCAAAAGGUUCGACUAGACCCCAAGUGAGCUGGGAUUCAACCCCCCGAUGCAGGACCCCCGACACGGACGGCCCGACCGCCUGCUACAGGAGUCAAGAUCAUCCCAUCAACGGAAGGCUCGUGGCCCCAGACCGAGGGAGACCAAAGAAGGGAAGAGUUUGAACUUUGUGUUCUGUUGCUUUUUAUUGGUAUGAGUGUCUGGUGAAUGAAAUUCCUCGUGUUGCAAACAUACUUUUUUUUACACGAGCCACCCCAUGUUUAAAUCGUGAGUGUAUAUAUACAGUGCUGGAGGAACUUGGUGGGUUUGACAACCCCUGAAGGAUUGGACAGAUGACUAAUCGGGUCAGGAGCUCUCAGUCUGAAAUACGGGGGAGAGCUGGAAAUGAGGUGGGGGUUGGGCACUGCCUGACAAGUGAUGGGUGGAUUACAGGUGAGUGGGUGAUGGGCAAAUGGAUGGAGUAAGUGCCAAAGGCUGAAGGUGAAAGUGAUCAAACAUGUUGGAUAAGGACAAGAACUGAAAUGUAAAACUAGGGUGAGGUGGGGUUGGAAGGUAAAAGGGAAAUAUGGACAAGGAGUUGAGAGAUGAGCAUACUUCCCCUCAUUAACUAACUAACCAUAACUAACUAACUAACCAUAACUAAAUAACCAUAACUAAAUACCAACAAAUAGGAAUAACUAAAUAAUAACUAAAUACCACUAAAUAGGAAUAACUAAGUAAUAACUAACUAGUCCUUGUAUGCUCAUCUUUCAAACAGGAGUUCCAUAUUCCCUCUAUCCCUUCCACCCAUCUCUCUCCUAGUUUCAUAUUUCCGUUCUCUCCUUAUUUGGCAUUUUGUCCCUUUCACCUUGAGCCUUUGGCACUCACUCCAUCCAUAUGUUCACCAUGCCUCACAUGUACCACCUAUUUCCUUGCUUGCUUUGUCCUGCAUGCCUCUGCCUCUUUUCACUCUCUUUCAUCAGUCUGAGGAAGGUUGCUGACCUGAGGUGUCAUCUGUCCAUUCCACUUGCAGUCAGGCAGAUUGUACCUGAACUGCUGAAUGCCUCCAGCACUUUGUCUUUGAACAGAGCCAUGUUCCCCGGUUGUAGUUGGCUCCUGUUACAGGGAAAGUAGAGUUUAAUAUUUUUGACUGAAGCUCUGGGGGGGUUGGGUUAUUCCAGGUAUUUUUUAAACCAUCUGGACACCACUGAAUGUUUGUUUAUAUCUAAUGUUUAAAUGUCCACGUGGAGAGAGGCAUCGGGCAACAAGGUUGGGAGAACACUUGUGAAAUAUAAUGGGUAUUUGA